GCCUGGCUGGCUCAGUCGGUAGAGCAUGUGACUCUUGAUUUCAGGGUCAAGAGUUCAAGCCCCAUGUUGGGUG
rnacentral:tRNA from 1 species